UACGUAGGGCGCAAGCGUUUAUCCGGAAUUAUUGGGCGUAAAGAGCUCGUAGGCGGUUUGUCGCGUCUGCCGUGAAAGUCCGGGGCUCAACUCCGGAUCUGCGGUGGGUACGGGCAGACUAGAGUGAUGUAGGGGAGACUGGAAUUCCUGGUGUAGCGGUGAAAUGCGCAGAUAUCAGGAGGAACACCGAUGGCGAAGGCAGGUCUCUGGGCAUUAACUGACGCUGAGGAGCGAAAGCGUGGGGAGCGAACAGG
rnacentral:rRNA from 1 species